UAGGGAAUCUUCCACAAUGGACGCAAGUCUGAUGGAGCAACGCCGCGUGAGUGAAGAAGGCUUUCGGGUCGUAAAACUCUGUUGUUGGAGAAGAAUGGUCGGCGGAGUAACUGUUGUCGGCGUGACGGUAUCCAACCAGAAAGCCACGGCUAACUACGUGCCAGCAGCCGCGGUAAUACGUAGGUGGCAAGCGUUAUCCGGAUUUAUUGGGCGUAAAGCGAGCGCAGGCGGUUUUUUAAGUCUGAUGUGAAAGCCCUCGGCUUAACCGAGGAAGUGCAUCGGAAACUGGGAAACUUGAGUGCAGAAGAGGACAGUGGAACUCCAUGUGUAGCGGUGAAAUGCGUAGAUAUAUGGAAGAACACCAGUGGCGAAGGCGGCUGUCUGGUCUGUAACUGACGCUGAGGCUCGAAAGCAUGGGUAGCGAACAGGAUUAGGAUACCCUGGUAGUCCAUGCCGUAAACGAUGAAUGCUAGGU
rnacentral:rRNA from 1 species